AUUUGGUGGUGGGGGCAACUGGCACAUAGCCUCUUAAAUCUCUCCCAAUACUCAUAUAAUGACUCCCCAGUCUAUUGGUGAAUGCCACAGAUUUUGUUCCUUAUACU